CACACACAUUUGUCGUCUGCUAAGUACAAGUUAGCCUUAGCUGACUUUGCCUGGCCGGGCCCAGAGGCCGUGACGUUAAUGUUGUUGAAACUACCCAAUUUGAAGUUAAUGUCACUGUCACCUAAAUAGGCUACCAAUUAGUGUAUGCAGAGUUUUAAAGAUUUGUCUUUUAUGAAAUGCAUCAACAUACAGUAUGUGGUUUUCUACUUACCAUUCCAAUGUGUCGAUUCCGGCGUUUGCUUUUAAUUUCAUUUUGUUUUUACAUAAUUUACACUUUCUUUUCUUUUUCAGAAGCCCUCUCUUCAUAAGCCAUUUCACAACCGUGGAUGUUCUUCUUUUGCACAAUGUGAAAAUCUUUUUUUCUAGCCUUACUCGGUUUCGCAUGCCUUCGCUCUCAGCUCUCAGGUGGUUAAGGUAAACCGGAAGUCACCUCCUGCUGUAUCUCCUUCUUCUUCUGAUGGGUCUAUUAGCGGGUGGCAACCAAGUGUAAAAGGUGCAUUACCGCCACCUACUGAACUGUUCCAUUUGGAUGUUUUCCAAUUUUAUGUAAAGAUUGGUUUAGUCACGUGCGUCUUAUUCGCAAACGUGUUAAUAGUGUCUCUUCCUUUCUAUCCCCGCUCCAUGUUCGUCUUUGACCCACGUCUUCUUGAAUUUUAUACAGGUGUCUCUGUGUCAUUUGUAUUCCAGCGUUCUUGCCAUAUUUUAAUCAUUUCAUCUGUAAUUAUAGUUCUGCCUUCGGCCCUAGUGAUUGGCUAACUGAUACCUCCUCCUUUCCAUAUCCCAGCGGUGCUGUGCGACCGUGAUUCCCAGCAAGACUUGCCCAUCUCUGAGGAAGAAGGAAUGUAUUCGCGACGGAAGAAGCGAAACCCACGGUACCCACCGAAGCAUUUAAUGCAGAAGCCGAGUCCCAAUGAGGCAGAUGAAGACUUGGAUGCUGGGUCUCCUCACUCUGCAGCAUCAGUGCAUGCGGCUCCAGGCAAGUUGUCUUAGCAACAAAGUGUUAGCACAUCACCAAAUCUGUUCAAAAUAACUUCAAAAUUGUUUAUCAUAUCUAUUUA